CCUACGGGUGGCUGCAGUGGGGGAUAUUGCACAAUGGGGGGAACCCUGAUGCAGCGACGCCGCGUGGGUGAAGAAGCGCCUCGGCGCGUAAAGCCCUGUCAGCAGGGAAGAAAAUGACGGUACCUGAAGAAUAAUCCCCGGCUAACUGCGUUCCAGCAGCCGCGGUAAUACGGAGGGGGCAAGCGUUAUCCGGAUGUACUGGGUGUAAAGGGGGCGCAGACGGCAAUGCAAGCCAGGAGUGAAAGCCCGGGGCCCAACCCCGAGACUGCCCUUGGAACUGCGGGGCUGGAGUGCAGGAGGGGCAGGCGGAAUUCCUGGUGUAGCGGUGAAAUGCGUAGAUAGCAGGAGGAACGCCGGUGGCGAAGGCGGCCUGCUGGACUGCAACUGACGUUGAGGCCCGAAAGCGUGGGGAGCAAACAGGAUUAGAUACCCCUGUAGUC
rnacentral:rRNA from 1 species